rnacentral:rRNA from 1 species
UACGGAGGGUGCAAGCGUUUGUCCGGAAUCACUGGGCGUAAAGGGCGCGUAGGUGGCCUGUGGAAGUCUGCGGUGAAAGCCCGGCGCUCAACGCCGGGUCGGCCGUGGAUACUCUCGGGCUUGAGCUUACUAGAGGCAGAUGGAAUUCCGGGUGUAGCGGUGGAAUGCGUAGAGAUCCGGAAGAACACCGGUGGCGAAGGCGGUCUGCUGGGGUAAUGCUGACACUGAGGCGCGACAGCGUGGGGAGCAAACAGGG